AUGAGUUCGGAUUGGCCUUUCUACUGCAAUAUUUUUAAAAGAUAUAAUGUUAGCCAUGGAGAACUGCAAAUAUGUUGCUACUGCUCUCAAUAACAUUGCUGCCCUGAAUUUAUCAGGCGCUAUUGACAAAGGUGGGAAAAAUUUGUGAUGGACUACUUUCUGAACGAGGAAUGCUGGCUCUCUCACUCUGAAAUUAACAUGUUUUAUAAUCAGUGGAACACAACGGGCCAAACAAGCUGUGCAAACUAAACGGAAACAACACAGGAACUCUUAUAAAAGGGAUUGCAGUCUGCCAUGAAGCUUUCAUCCAUGUAUACAGCUUCAAUCAGUAGAACACACCUGACUGUAAGCCACCAGCCAUACAGUCAUCAAAAAGAGAGCUAGCAAGCAAAGGCAGCAGCGCAGUCAUCAACUACAUGCACCGUUUCUUCACCAACGUCCUAGUUGGAAAAACAGCUGUGGACCUGAAUUGUGAUAACUGCAGUGGCCAAAACAAGAACAAGUUUGUGCUCUGGUAUUGUGCCUGGUGGACCACCAGAAUCUGGACCUUCACUUCCUGAUCACAGGCCACACCAAGUUUGCCCCUGACUGGUGCUUCGGCCUCAUCAAUCAGUGCUUCAAAAAGACCAGAGUGAACACUGGGAUUGCUGGUGUUGUGAAGGACAGCACUGUGACAGGGGUCAACAUCCCAGAGCUGGUUGGACUGGAGGAUGGUACAGUGCCGGUGGAAAGCUAUGGUUGGCAACAACACCUUACUCUGUACUCCAGGCCUCUGCCACAGAUCAAGCAGUAUCAGCAAUUCAGCUUCGUUGCUCUGGAGCCUGGUGUUGUCGCCAAGGAGUGUUCGGACUGUUGGGACCAGGUUUCAGCUGCUGCGCAACGCUGACAUCCUUCCUCCCAUAGAUGGUCUGCCUGUAAAAGCACCACCUGGACUGGACACAACUAGACAAACUAUAUUUUUGACAAGAUCAGGAAGUUUUGCAAUGAAGAGACUAUAGACAUCACAUGCCCUGUACCAAAGUCAAGGACAGGACAGAAGCAGGCUCCCUCCGAAUAUAGAUUCCCUUUGUUCAUGCGUGGUUUGGAUGGACCAUACAUGAGCUCUAUCUGUAGUGCCUCUAUUCACAUGACUCUCUCCUAAAACACACGCCAUAUGUUGCUGAUACUUUUGUUUACCCCGCUGCUCAGCCAGUUUACCUCUGAUUGUAUGCAUUUUAUUACCUCGUCUAUUACUGAUAUCAUUAUUGAUAUUGUUUUUUUUUACAUACUGUAUAUUUUAUCUAUAUUGACACUAUCUAUUUCUGAUAUUGCUACUAUGCAAGUAACUAUUUGGCUGUAUCAUUUACACCUUUUGUAGAGACCAUCCACUUAGCAAGACUAAGAGCAAAAUAUUGAUAUAUAAAAUCAAUAUUGAUGUGUGGUCGUAACAUGAUUUUAUGACAUACCACAAUAAUAUCUUGUGACUGUAUCCAGUGUCCACCACAUAAAUAUAUGGAGCAUGCAUCAGUUUAUGUACUGUAAAAAAAACUCACUCAGGUUGCAUGGCCUUAAUUUAUGUAUGGAAUACUAUGUGAUACGUGCGUGUGUAACAGUAUAUAAUGUAUGCUACUGUAGUGGUGUGAAGGUUUUUGGGCAGUGGUGUAAAGUACUUCAGUAAAAAUACUUUAAAGUAUUACUUAAGUUGUUUUUUGUGGUAUCUGUACAUUACUUUCCUAUUUAUACUUUCCUACCCUAUUGAACUUUUACUUUGCUACAUUCGUAAGGAAAAUAAUGUACUUUUUACUCCAUACACUUUCAUUGACACCCAAAAGUACUUAUUACAUUUUGACAGGAAAAUUGUCCAAUUCACACACUUAUCAAGAGAACAUCCCUGGUCAUCCCUGCGGCGUCUGAUCUGGCAGACUCACUAAACACACAUCCUUCGUUUGUAAUUAUGUCUGAGUGUUGGAGCCCCUGGCUCUCCGUCAAGAAUAAUUAUGAAAUUGUGCACUCUGAUUUGCUAAAUAUAAGGAAUUUGAAAUGGUUUAUAUUUCAACUUUUACUGUUGAUACUUAAGUACAUUGUGCCCCUGGCUAUCCGUCAACUAAUAAAUAAAU